rnacentral:rRNA from 1 species
UACAGGGGGGGGCAAGCGUUGUUCGGAAUUACUGGGCGUAAAGGGUUCGUAGGUGGCCACUUAAGUCAGACGUGAAAUCCCUCAGCUUAACUGGGGAACUGCGUCUGAUACUGAGUGGCUUGAGUGCAGGAGAGGGAUGCGGAAUUCCAGGUGUAGCGGUGAAAUGCGUAGAUAUCUGGAGGAACACCGGUGGCGAAGGCGGCAUCCUGGACUGUAACUGACACUGAGGAACGAAAGCCAGGGGAGCAAACGGG